AGCAUAUUCGUUUGACGUUUAGCUGCAGAAGAAGCACCGGCUAACUCCGUGCCAGCAGCCGCGGUAGUACGGAGGGUGCGAGCGUUAAUCGGAAUUACUGGGCGUAAAGCGCAUGCAGGUGGUUUGUUUAAGUUCAGAUGUGAAAGACCCGGGGCGUCAACCUCGGAAUAGCAUUUGAAACUAGGCAGACUAGAGUACUGUAGAGGGGGGUAGGAAGUUUCAGGUGUAGCGGUGAAAUAGCGUAGAGAUCUGAAGGAAUACCGGUGGCGAAGGCGGCCCCCUCGGACAGAUACUGACACUCAGAUGCGAAAGCGUGGGGAGCAAACAGGAUUAGAUACCCUGGUAG
rnacentral:rRNA from 1 species